rnacentral:rRNA from 1 species
UAGGCUGCAACCCGCCUACCAUGAAGUUGGAAUUGCUAGUAAUCGCAGAUCAGAAUGCUGCGGUGAAUACGUUCCCGGGCCUUGUACACACCGCCCGUCACACCAUGGGAGCCGGUAAUACCCGAAGUCAGUAGUCUAACCGCAAGGGGGACGCUGCCGAAGGUAGGAUUGGCGACUGGGGUGAAGUCGUAACAAGGUAAC